rnacentral:rRNA from 1 species
UACGGAGGGGGCUAGCGUUGUUCGGAAUUACUGGGCGUAAAGCGCACGUAGGCGGCUUUGUAAGUUAGAGGUGAAAGCCCGGAGCUCAACUCCGGAAUUGCCUUUAAGACUGCAUCGCUAGAAUUGUGGAGAGGUGAGUGGAAUUCCGAGUGUAGAGGUGAAAUUCGUAGAUAUUCGGAAGAACACCAGUGGCGAAGGCGACUCACUGGACACAUAUUGACGCUGAGGUGCGAAAGCGUGGGGAGCGAACAGG